UACGGGGGGGGCAAGCGUUGUUCGGAAUUACUGGGCGUAAAGGGCUCGUAGGCGGCCAACUAAGUCGGAUGUGAAAUCCCCAGGCUUAACCUGGGAACUGCAUCCGAUACUGGAUGGCUUGAAUCCGGGAGAGGGAUGCAGAAUUCCAGGUGUAGCGGUGAAAUGCGCAGAUAUCAGGAGGAACACCGGUGGCGAAGGCGGGUCUCUGGGCCGAUACUGACGCUGAGGAGCGAAAGCGUGGGGAGCAAACAGG
rnacentral:rRNA from 1 species